GGGGGGUUCUGGAUACAGACUAGUUACUGACUGACUAGUGGGGGGGUUCUGGAUACAGACUAGUGACUGACUGAAGGGGGGGGUUCUGGAUACAGACUAGUGACUGACUGAAGGGGGGGUUCUGGAUACAGACUAGUGACUGACUGAAGGGGGUUCUGGAUACAGACUAGUGACUGACUGAAGGGGGGGUUCUGGAUACAGACUAGUGACUGACUGAAGGGGGGGGUUCUGGAUACAGACUAGUGACUGACUGAAUGGGGAGUUCUGGAUACAGACUAGUGACUGACUGAAUGGGGAGUUCUGGAUACAGCCUAGUGACUGACUGAAUGGGGGGGUUCUGGAUACAGACUAGUAACUGACUGACGGGGGGUUCUGGAUACAGACUAGUAACUGACUGACGGGGGGGUUCUGGAUACAGACUAGUAACUGACUGACGGGGGG
ensembl:lncRNA